ACAAAGGAUUUUCUAUUAAGUCACAACUCGUUUAUUAUGGUAAAAUCCACAUAACAUAAAAUUUAACAUUUUAU
rfam:Nomascus leucogenys chromosome 12, whole genome shotgun sequence.